UUUUUUUUUAGUGUGUAGCACAUAUUUUUAGAUCAAGAAUAGUGUGUUUUACAUUAUUUUCAUUAAAAGUUUAUGAAUAUAUAUGAUAAAAAACAUUUUUAAAACUACAUAUACAAUAGUGUGACAUGAUUUGGAAUAAAUAUACAUUUAAAGGAUUUUUCACAUAAACUUCAUUUUAUACCUCAAUGGUAGUUAUUGUUAUUUUCAUUUAUCAUUGAUUAGUAGAAUAACAUGUACUAGUAAUAAUAUUUAUAUAUGGUAAAGCAUGAAUGUUAUUCAUGCAAUAUGAUUUCAAUAGUCAAUUUUUUAAUAGUUUAAUGGCAGCAUGUAUUGUCAUCAAUACAAGCUGCCAUUGUCAUAAUGUAGUAAAGUUUAAAAGUUAUUUAUGUAUAAUUAUUUUUUAAACCAAUUUGUUAGGGUGUUAUAUUUUUUAGAAUCUGCUGUGAAAUAAGUUUAAUAUAUAAUCACAAAAUGUAGCUCUAAGACAACAUGAAAUUAAACAAUAAAUUCUGGUCCACGAUAAUUAAAAUACAUUAUGUUAGACUAAUCAUGAAUAUAACUAUUAUAUAUAAUAAUGUAAGUACUCAACAUUUUAUAAUUGUAAAUUUUCAUUGUUUCAAAAUAAUUUUAUUACAAAAUUUAUUGUGGUCAAAAUUACAAUUGUUUUUAAUUUUUUUCAAUAUGUUUAAAUUGUAACAAAUAAUUAUUUUCAAGUAAUAAUAUAACCUAAAAUGAUUAUUGUUUAAUUAGGUACAAUCAAAAUGUUAGUGAUAUUGAUUAUUUUUGCAUUUAUUAAAUUAUAUAAAAGAUAUUAAACCCUCACCAACUGAUUUAAUGGUUUGAUGUCAGGUUAACUUGAGUCAACACUUUAAAUUUUAAAUGGUAAUUUAAAUAGUAUUCAUGUUAUAUUAUUUUAAAUGGUAUUCAUGUUAUUAUUUUAAAUGGUAAUUUAAAUAGUAUUCAUGUUAUAUUAUUGUUGUUUACAAGUCUAUUUAUGUCAUGCCUAAUUUUUAACAUCAGUUAUUUACCAUGAAAUAAUAUUGUUAUAGAUUCUCUGCAGGAUGCCUGUCAAAAAGAAAAACUGAAGAAACUUUAAAACUAGAUGAUGAUACUAACUAAAGAAGUUGAAACACCGUUAUUCAUGGUAUCAUAUCUAGGCUUCAGUACUCCAUGUUUGUUAGUUAUGAAAGAUAUGGCAUGGUAUGGCACAUUGCAUGUGUAAAAGUGGAUGAAAGUACUAAAGAAAACGAUAACGAUAAACUUUAAAGUAGAAUUUUGUCAUGCGAUUAUAGUGGCGAUAUGAGAGAACUACUGCGGCAGAAUAUUACUAUCGUAAAACAGUUUUGCAUCAAAUCAUUGUAUAAUAUUAGUUUUUUGUUGCUUAAAAAUAUCAUUAAAUUCAAA